rnacentral:rRNA from 1 species
GAUGAACGCUGGCGGCGUGCCUAACACAUGCAAGUCGAGCGAAGCGAUCGAGAUGAAGUUUUCGGAUGGAUUCCUGAUUGACUGAGCGGGCGACGGGUGAGGUACGCGUGGUAACCUGCCUCAUACAGGGGGAUAACAGUUAGAAAUGACUGCUAAUACCGCAUAAGCGCACAGUACCACAUGGUACAGUGUGAAAAACUCCGGUGGUAUGAGAUGGACCCGCGUCUGAUUAGCUAGUUGGUAAGGUAACGGCUUACCAAGGCGACGAUCAGUAGCCGACCUGAGAGGGUGACCGGCCACAUUGGGACUGAGACACGGCCCAA